rnacentral:rRNA from 1 species
CCCUUAGAUGCUCUGGGCCGCACGCGCGCUACACUGGUCGAUGCAACGAGUUUCUUUCCUUGGCCGACAGGCCUGGGCAAUCUUUGAACAUCGAUCGUGAUCGGGAUAGAUUCUUGUAAUUUUUGAUCUUAAACGAGGAGUUCCUAGUAAACGCAAGUCAUCAGCUUGCAUUGAUUACGUCCCUGCCCUUUGUACACACCGCCCGUCGCACCUACCGAUUGAAUGGUCCGGUGAAAUCUCCGGACUGGCGUGAGUCGGAGCAAUCUGACAAACACCGGAAAGUUGAUUAAACCUUACCAUUUAGAGGAAGGUGAAGUCGUAACA